UCGGACUUCAGUUCCAUGUCCGCUUGUCUUUAUUGGUGGAGUGAUCAUUGGGUGAUCUUUACCUGGUCGGCCUAUGACCUUUUUGACUACCUAUGGUAGGUUCCAGCUGAUUUAUCAUCAUUGCGGAUUCCAACACUUGGUUUCUUAAUUUGCCCUUUGUAUUCUUUCUCCUCUAAACUCUUUUCAUGCUUAACCAUUUUGAUUUCAUUUUGGUUUGUGAACACCCCAUAGUUCUAGCGCAUAUACUAAUAUUCUACCCAUGAGGUCUAUCUACUCAUAACUCAUACUAGAA
rnacentral:lncRNA from 1 species